rnacentral:rRNA from 1 species
AGCGAACGCUGGCGGCAUGCCUUACACAUGCAAGUCGAACGGUAACAGGUCUUCGGAUGCUGACGAGUGGCGAACGGGUGAGUAAUACAUCGGAACGUGCCUAGUAGUGGGGGAUAACUACUCGAAAGAGUGGCUAAUACCGCAUGAGAUCUACGGAUGAAAGCAGGGGAUCGCAAGACCUUGUGCUACUAGAGCGGCCGAUGGCAGAUUAGGUAGUUGGUGGGAUAAAAGCUUACCAAGCCGACGAUCUGUAGCUGGUCUGAGAGGACGAUCAGCCACACUGGGACUGAGACACGGCCCAGACUCCUACGGGAGGCAGCAGUGGGGAAUUUUGGACAAUGGGCGAAAGCCUGAUCCAGCAAUGCCGCGUGCAGGAUGAAGGCCUUCGGGUUGUAAACUGCUUUUGUACGGAACGAAAAGCCCUGGGUUAAUACCCUGGGGUCAUGACGGUACCGUAAGAAUAAGCACCGGCUAACUACGUGCCAGCAGCCGCCGUAA